AAAACCAUCUGCCUAAUAUUGUGUAGGUCUACCUUGUGCUGCCAAAACAGCUCUGAUGUCUGGUGGCAUGGACUCCACAAAACCUCUGAACGUGUCCGGUAGUAACUGGCACCAAAACAUUAGCAACUACCCUUUAAAGGAACACUAUAGGGUCAGGAACACAAACAUGUAUUUCUGACCCUAUAGUGUUAAAACCACCAUCUUGCUUCCCUAAAUAUAGUAAAAUCUGCCUCUGACCUGCCUGCUGUCUGCUGACAUCAUCAGAGUUGGUGGUCUGAGCCAAUCACAG